rnacentral:misc_RNA from 1 species
CUGCUUCAUCAUCUACCUGUCCAUUUAUUCCGCCAUCGUUCUCAUCUUCUGAUGAAUAAUUCGAUACCCUUACAGAGAAGGGUGAAGGGAAAGGGCUGCGCUUCUCUCCUGGAGCGAAANGAGGCAUCAAGAUGAUGUAAUAAGUUGAAGGUGUACUCAGGGGUCUUUGGCACCAUAAUCAGUGCUGCAUUAUUAGCGUCUUCUUCUUCUUCGAUGACCUCAGGGUGAUUGAUGCAAGGGAAGUAAUGGUGUUUGCGCUUUGGCACGUGGAAAAAAACAGGAUUUGGGCUGUUGCUGCAAGAGAACUCAUACUCCUGUAAGCCAUAGCUACCGCGUGCCAUGUUUCUUGGGUGGUGGUGGUGGUGGGAUAGUAGAUUGCUCAAAGACUUCCUUAGAAGCUUCCCUCUCUUCAUCAUGAGAUUCAUGUCCAAGAUCAACUUCCUCUUUGAAACCAAUCCCUUCCUGAUCAUAAAGAAGGUGACCCUCAACACAUUCCAUAGCCUCUUGGGUAACACAGAGUUCACCCUGGGAUGUACCUCCAUUUC